GGUACUGCAGCAUUGGCGCUGUCAGGUUCGGAUGGUGUGUUGAGUUCAUUCGCAGCGCCGAUAAACUUUUGUUGUACCAUUCAUCUUCUGCACUCAUGCCUGAAAAAUGAAGAAAAGAAUUUAAAUUAUUGCUGUAAUUAAGAAAGUAGCUGCAGAUAAAUAAAAUUGAAAUUUGUGAAGAACUCAUAGAAAUAUUUGUAAACUCGAUGCGAUUUGUCAAAGCAAACUGGGAAAUGAAAGACGAACGCAACAUCGACGGUGAGACGUUGCAAAGUUACGCUCUGACUCCUAUGGGAAAUUAUCCGCUUCCUCUCGAGGAGCGCUCGCGCCGCGCCGCCGAGAUUGCGGCCAAGAUGUUCAAUUUCCUUUCGCUCUCCUUCGCCGUGUCUCGCGCCGCCGCCGCCGUUAAUCGUCAUGCGAGCAAUCCCCAUUACACGUUUCUCAUCAAGCGGAAGAUGGCGGCGACCGGAACUUUGAUACUCUCGCGGAAAUCAUCUAAGACGACCAGCGUCUCAGCGUAUACGCAGUGGAAUUAUUAAUUAAACUAAAUAUUUUUCAGCUUUCUUGUUUGUAAACAUGCAAUUUCCAACUGUGGACGCUUACCCAUUGCAUCUUGACGCAUUCCGGCGACGGUGGACAUGUUUGUACCAUGGGACAUCGUAAAGGACUGCGCCAUUCCAGGAUAUGAACUUGUACUCAUCUGAAAGUAAUCAUUUAUUAUUUAUUUCAGUAUUUGUUAUUGUAUGUUGGGUUGCCUAAGUAGACAAGACCAGUGCUGAUUAAUAAUUUGGUGGUUAGGAAUCAAAGGAUAAUGCUUAAUGAGUUAAACCCGGCUGAAUGCAAAUGAACGAUGAUAGGGGUGCAACAGGACGAAUUGCAUUUCCGGCAUGUUUGCGAAUUUGGCUGCGUGGAAUCUUAAAGCGGUCGCACGGUCGCUCGGCCGGUUGGCGGCGAUUACGAACGAAUCAGGUAGGCGACGGCGGCGGCUGGCGGCGGCGAGCGUGCCGGUACGCGAUUAGCAAGACGCAGGUAACCUAAUUAGCCGAGGUCAAACAGGUUAGUUGAUUAGUUUACGUCUCGACCGCGCAUUUCCUUCGCCGCCACCGCCGCCGCCGCCGUCGUCACCACUACCGUUUCGGUUUCAUGUCUACAACCUCCAUAAACAAGCCCAAAAUAGAAUUUUCAUUGAUCAUGCCGCUAUUUUUAACAUUUUAAUGAAUUUUAUGAAUAUUUUAACGGAAUAAUAUUUAAAUAAUUUUUACCUGUGGAUAACGAUUGAUAGCCGUCGGAUGUGGAUAGGGUUGGUAGCCGCGUGCCGCCCCUGGAUAAAUGUUCCGCAUCAUGGCGCCAUUGCAUCCCGGGAGGACGGAGGGCGCGAGCGCCUUCUGCAGCUGCUUCUCCUGUUUUCGGUAUUUCGCUCUUCGGUUUUGAAACCACACCUAAAAACAAUCGCAAUCAAUACAAAUAAGAACACCACUCUUAAAUUUUUUCCUAGACUACUAACAAGUUAUCUCAUCUGGAUCGUGAUCUUAAAAGUUCAGCAACAUAUAACAACCCCUAAGAACAGAAGAAAAAAAAACGUCACGAAUAAAAGAAAAAGAAGAGGAAAGUUUCCCAAAGUGAGGAAAAACGUGCCGAAAGUUUACAACACAAAGUUGUCGAAGUUUUUUUUCUCUUUGUUUUGCUCGACUUCAGUUUAAUACGCCGCUCUUUUUGACAACAAGAUGGCUGCCGAAAUUGGUUCUAUUACAAUUUUAAUCUUCUCCUUGUAAUAAUUGCAAGUUUUGCAUUUCCUCGACUUGGAAAAUUCGCGUCGCUUUAACGCACCACCCUCGCCGACGAAAACUUGAAAUAGUUGCUGAGGGUGGCUGCCGCCGCCGCCGCCGUCGGCAGCGAAACGUUGCGAGGGCGGUUCAUCCCAGCAGCGAAAACCGGGAAAAUAGGGAGAAAACGAAACGCGGAACGAAAACGAAAACGUUAUACGCGUACCCGUACCCGAAAGGCGCACAGAAGGGACGCGCAGCGGUGAGGGUGAGUUUUGUUCAAGGGGGGCGGUGCGCUCCGAGUGAAGGGGGGUGGGUUGGGUUGUGCGCUGUCCGUAAUUCGAUUACGGAUCCAUUUGAUGGGAUCGAGGGCGGACGAGGAUGAGUGCGAGAGGCGGCCGUUUCGACGUGUACGCCGCUGCCGCCGUCGCCGGCUGCUGCCGUGGCGGGCAACAAGCGGGCGGCGGUUCUUUCGCCUUUUUCUUUCGCCUAGUUGCACGCGCGCUGCGUUUUCGUUUAAUGUUUCGGGACCCACUGCCGCCUCGCUCGGUCUUUGUUUCGUUUUACGCGGCGGAGGCGGCGACGUCACAUGCAAAAUGUACGUGUACACAAUGCGUCAUUAUGAUAUUACAUCAAAGGAAUACUAAUAAAGCCGCGUUUCACUUUGC